CAGCCGCCACGGGAAUACGAAGGGUGCAAGCGUUACUCGGAAUUACUGGGCGUAAAGCGUGCGUAGGUGGUGGUUUAAGUCCGUUGUGAAAGCCCUGGGCUCAACCUGGGAAUUGCAGUGGAUACUGGGUCACUAGAGUGUGGUAGAGGAUAGUGGAAUUUCCGGUGUAGCAGUGAAAUGCGUAGAGAUCGGAAGGAACAUCUGUGGCGAAGGCGACUAUCUGGGCCAACACUGACACUGAGGCACGAAAGCGUGGGGAGCAAACAGGAUUAGAUACCCGAGUAGUCCUGUCUCUUAUACA
rnacentral:rRNA from 1 species